AGAUGUGGCCAUAAUGGCUUUAAUCAGAUCUCAGAAGUUAAGCAAGGCAGGGUCUGGUUAGUACCUGGAUGAAAGACCACUGGGAAUAUCAGGUGCCACAUUUG
rnacentral:rRNA from 1 species